GAUGAACGCUGGCGGCGUGCCUAAUACAUGCAAGUCGAGCGAACAGACGAGGAGCUUGCUCCUCUGACGUUAGCGGCGGACGGGUGAGUAACACGUGGAUAACCUACCUAUAAGACUGGGAUAACUUCGGGAAACCGGAGCUAAUACCGGAUAAUAUAUUGAACCGCAUGGUUCAAUAGUGAAAGACGGUUUUGCUGUCACUUAUAGAUGGAUCCGCGCCGCAUUAGCUAGUUGGUAAGGUAACGGCUUACCAAGGCAACGAUGCGUAGCCGACCUGAGAGGGUGAUCGGCCACACUGGAACUGAGACACGGUCCAGACGCCUAAGGGAGGCAGCAGUAGGGAAUCUGACGCAAUGGGCGAAAGCAUGACGGAGCAACGCCGCGUGAGUGAUGAAGGUGUUCGGAUCGGAAAAAUCUGUUAUUAGGGAAGAACAAAUGUGUAAGGAACUAUGCACGGCUUGACGGUACCUAAUCAGAAAGCCACGGCUAACUACGUG
rnacentral:rRNA from 1 species